rnacentral:rRNA from 1 species
CGGAGGAAAAGAAACCAACCGGGAUUGCCUCAGUAACGGCGAGUGAAGCGGCAAGAGCUCAAAUUUGAAAGCUGGCUCCUUCGGGGUCCGCAUUGUAAUUUGCAGAGGAUGCUUCGGGUGCAGCCCCCGUCUAAGUGCCCUGGAACGGGCCGUCAUAGAGGGUGAGAAUCCCGUAUGGGGCGGGGUGUCUGCGUCCGUGUGAAGCUCCUUCGACGAGUCGAGUUGUUUGGGAAUGCAGCUCUAAAUGGGUGGUAAAUUUCAUCUAAAGCUAAAUACUGGCCGGAGACCGAUAGCGCACAAGUAGAGUGAUCGAAAGAUGAAAAGCACUUUGAAAAGAGAGUUAAACAGCACGUGAAAUUGUUGAAAGGGAAGCGCUUGCAACCAGACUCGCUCGCGGGGUUCAGCCGGGCUUCGGCCCGGUGUACUUCCCCGCGGGCGGGCCAGCGUCGGUUUGGGCGGCCGGUCAAAGGCCUCCGGAAUGUAGCGCCCUUCGGGGCGCCUUAUAGCCGGGGGUGCAAUGCGGCCAGCCUGGACCGAGGAACGCGCUUCGGCACGGACGCUGGCAUAAUGGUUGUAAACGACCCGUCUUGAA